rnacentral:lncRNA from 8 species
CUUAUUUUUAUUUAACCUUUGUUUAACUAGACAAGUCAAUUAAGAACAAAUUCUAAUGACAAACUAGUUGUGACUAAACAAAUUGACACUAUUAGCAUACAUACGAACAUGCUUGAUAAAUGGCAUUCAUCCAUCCCUCCAUGUUAAAACUGUUGUAAUCUCGUCCACAGGCUCAAUUGCUACAGUAUAUAGGUUGUUGUGGAGAGAGAGAAGGCGACCGUUGGUGGACCGCUGUCACGACAAAUGCGCGGAGAUUCAGCGCGCAUUCAAUGGUGCCAAGUAGAAUCAGUCCUCUGACUAGGAGUACACUACGGUACGUUUAGAUUUUAGCUACCUAUACGCUUUCUUUUUCUUAAUCUUCUUUCGACACAUCCCCGUGUUUUUCCUCUUGUCAAGAAGAAUAGGAGACAGAAUGGGCGGAAGCGGCACAAAGUUAUCAAAAAAGCUCCAUUGAGAGAUACAGGCUUUGGAACUGAAGCUCCAGUCAAACUCUGCACUUCAACCUCACUGCCAACCGAAGCUCUAAGGUGCGGGAAACAAUUUUAUGUGCACUUCUCAUGUGUCAUGCUCUACUCACGUUUAUCAACUUUCAAAGCAACAUAACUUCCCCAUGUUUUAAGCUCAGAGUCUGUACUUUUCUAAACUGUAAAAAAAAAAAAAACUGAAAUGCAGCCUAGAUAUGGUCGUCUGGGCCCUGAUAAGAAAUUGUGCACUGUAGGGAAUAGGGUGCCAUUUGAGACGCGACUAUUGUAUCUGCCAUAUCAUCAGGAAAAGGGGUAGAUAAGGAUAAUGGUAGGUUCUUCAGACUGGUUUAAGACUCGUCUUUCUUGCCUCGUAAGCAUUAAAAGCUGGACAUGCUUGGAGCAGCUUAUCCUAAGAUGCUUUGUUCAAAUGUAAGAACAGAAGAACAGUAAUUCCUCUAUUAGGAUUGCUUUGUUUGCCAUAUCCAGUAGUCUCUUUCUAUCCUGAUGGAAUUAACAUACUCCUGUAACUGAAGCUCCU